GAUGAACGCUGGCGGUGUGCCUAAUACAUGCAAGUCGAGCGAACAGACGAGGAGCUUACUCCUCUGACGUUAGCGGCGGACGGGUGAGUAACACGUGGAUAACCUACCUAUAAGACUGGGAUAACUUCGGGAAACCGGAGCUAAUACCGGAUAACAUGUUGAACCGCAUGGUUCAACAGUGAAAGACGGUCUUGCUGUCACUUAUAGAUGGAUCCGCGUCGCAUUAGCUAGUUGGUAAGGUAACGGCUUACCAAGGCAACGAUGCGUAGCCGACCUGAGAGGGUGAUCGGCCACCCUGGAACUGAGACACGGUCCAGACUCCUACGGGAGGCAGCAGUAGGGAAUCUUCCGCAAUGGGCGAAAGCCUGACGGAGCAACGCCGCGUGAGUGAAGAAGGUCUUCGGAUCGUAAAACUCUGUUAUUAGGGAAGAACAAAUGUGUAAGUAACUAUGCACGUCUUGACGGUACCUAAUCAGUAAGCCACGGCUAACUACGUG
rnacentral:rRNA from 1 species